GACGAACGCUGGCGGCGUGCCUAAUACAUGCAAGUCGAACGCAGUGGGGACGGGUGAGUAACACGUGGGUAACCUCCCAUCAGAGGGGAUAACACUUGGAAACAGGUGCUAAACCGCUACUGCUGGAUGGCUCCGCGGUGCAUUAGCUAGUUGGUGCGGUAACGGCUCACCAAGGCCACGGUGCAUAGCCGGCCGGAGAGGGUGAUCGGCCACACUGGGACUGAGACACGGACCAGACUCCUACGGGAGGCAGCAGUAGGGAAUCUUGGGAAAUGGACGAAAGUCUGACCGAGCAACGCCGCGUGAGUGAAGAAGGUUUUCGGAUCGUAAAACGCUGUUGGUAGAGAAGCGGUAUCUAAACAGAAAGCCACGGCUAACUACGUGCCAGCAGCCGCGGUAAUAC
rnacentral:rRNA from 1 species